UGUAAACCAUCUUGAUCAUGAGGUUUGUUUCUGGUUUUCAAAGUUAGGGCUCUGAGUGAGGAAGUUGGUGGGAUGUCUGUUGUGAGGCCAGAAGGAGAUGAUUUUAAUGGAGGGCGAGCAGAUGUGUGUGAGGAGGAAUGGUUUCAGAAGGAAAGGUAGCGUUGUAGACGGAAAACACCACUAGAUGGCAAAAGAGACUUGAGAAGAAGAUAACCCAGGCCUCAGGCUCUGUGGGCGUCCCUCGGGGAGGUCCUGACUGUGGGGACAGCCCUUUCUUUCUUUGUUAAGGUGCUUACCCUUAAAAGCAGACCUUCUAAACACUAUUUUGCUGCUGUAGAAACCCUCAGGAUUGGGGAUAAAAUCCUUAUUUUAAAGCAGAUCAAAUGCAGAUCAACUCUGGCCAGAUGAGCUCUGGGCUAGUUAUCCUGGUUUGCUCUGCAACUCCAUUAUGCUGGACUCUCCAGAAGGCUGCUUAGUGCUGAGUGCAGAUGAAAUAAACAAGGCCCUGGUGUCUCAGGUCAACAGGAAAGAGAGAGAAAGUUGAAGUUUGCAUAUGAAAAUUGAAGUGGAAGAGUUGAAGCUGCCAUCUGUACAAUUCAGGCUGAAACCUUUGGACACAAUUAUUUGGCUUAGACGGUCAACUCCUAAAAGGCUAGAAGCCUCGGUCACAGUCCUUUUGUACCUCACACAGAAGUGGAAUUGAACAAGAAGCCUUGGAUGGCUUCAGCCAUCCCUUGGGUUUAAGGAGAACCCAGGAACCGUCUGUGACCAGGUCUACUGUUCGAGCCACUUGAGUUGGACAGGGCCAAAAGAAAUGUCAGUGAAAUCAUGUGGAGUGUACUCUGGGCAGAAUCUUGGGAGUUCCCUGGAAUUACAAGGACUCACCCCUCACUUGUUGUGUAGCUAAUGUUCUACAAAUGCUUACUGCUGGAGAAGGAGGGAUAAAAUGUAUUGAGGUUUACAGGCAGUGGGUCUUCUUUUGGCGGGGGGAGCUACUGGAGAUUGAAUUCAGGGCCUUUCCUGAAGAGCCCCAACCCUUUUAUUUUUUAUUUUGAGACAGGGUCUCAUUAAGUUGCUAAAUUGCCAAGAUUGCUUGAAUUUGUGAUGGCCCUGCCUCAGCCUCCUGGAGUACUGGGAUUACAGGUGUGCCCAUCUCAGAGGGUCCUCUUUAUAAGAAAAAUAAAUCAAAGUUAUCAUUUCAGUGUUGAACUACUGGCACUCCUUUUGACUGUAAAAGAACCAGCACCAUUACAAUAAAACUCUGUUUAACAAAAACCAUUUCCAAAAAGCUUUUGUACAUAGGGAGGGGAGGAGACUUGAGGGGAGAGGGGAAUGGGGGAAUGAGAUAAAAUUAAAUUAAAUUAAAUUAAAUUUUAAAGCAAACAAAAGGGCCAGGGAUUUAGCUCAGUGGCACUGUGCCUGCCUGGCAAGAAUAAGGUCCUGAGUUCGAUCCCUGGUACCAAAAGUAAAUAAAUAAAAUAAAAAACAAAUAACCCAAAAAACAUUUCCAGGUUUCAUAUGUUUUCCAAAGCUUUCAAAUACAUAAAGUAAACCAGCAUGGUAGUUCAUGCCUGUAAUACCAGCUAAUGGGAGGCCGAGGCAGAAGGAUGCAAGUUUGAGGCCAGUUUGGGGAAUUUACCAAGAUCCUGUCUCAAAAUAAAAACAAAUAAAAAAAGGGAUGGGGAUAUGGAUCAGGGGAUAGAAAGCUUGCCCUGCAUAUGGAGACCCUGCACACGAAUUCCCAGUACUACAAUAAAACAAAAACAUGAGAUAUAAGUCAGUCUGCUCUUGUAAGGAAAUUUGACUAUCUCAUUAAUGAGAUCAGGGCUUCUCAGUCUCAGAAUUAUUUACAUCUUACUCUGGACAGUUCUUUGUCAGGGGGGCUGUCUUGCACAAUCCAGGUUUUUAGCAAUAUCCCUGGCCUUGUGGCAGUAGCAACUUCCAGUUAUGGCACCCUAAAUAUUUUCCAGACAUUACGAAAUUAUCCCCAGUCAAGAACCACUGAAUUUGACAUACAACCUGGGGCAAGCUACCAUCCCUCCAGAACUUAGUUUCUUCAUCUUUAGGGUGGUUCUUGUAUAUGUAAAGUCCAGAGCAAUGGAGAGCAAGUCCACAAAUCCUGGGCUUAGGGAGCAUAUCAAGCCAUGAGCAGGAUAUCAGAAUGGAUGAAGCAAUUCUAUAUAGCAGCACUUCGAGGACAGAAUUGUAGAGGCCAGACCUCCAGAACUGUAGUUGGGAACCCAAAGGUCUAUCACUCUGGCCCCACUCAGCACCACUCCUGGACCUGUGCUCAUGACUUUGUAGCAUGUGUUUUUAUGUAUGACUGUCCUACAGAAUUAUAGAUAUAAUCCACAACGUUUUUCGAAGUGUCUUUCAGAUAAUAUCUGGCUAAUUUUAAAAGUUAUCUCCAAGUAAUCAAAUCUUCAUGGAGAUGAAUUUUAGGCCAUAAGUGAGAAAGAGCUCCGGAUGGGUGGAGCAAGGAUGAGGUUGGGCUUGGGGGUGCUAUCACCAGGGUUGCUUAGAGAAUAAAUGUGGCUUUGCAAAUGUCAAAAGUGAGUUAAUGUAGAACUUAGGAGCCUGUGUCCAGUUAGUUAUCCACUUACAUAUUAUUUCAUGAUUAAAAAGCUC
ensembl:lncRNA